rnacentral:misc_RNA from 1 species
AACUCUAAGAAAAUGUGUUCUGUCUAGGUUUAUGCGCCUCAGAAGUGCGAUCACGAAAGCAACAACCUACCGAAUCGGAGAAAACACAAGUUUAGAAGAAAAAGUUCAGUUGCUCCGAAAUGAUAUAAAUAAUGCGCCCAGUCAUGUUUUUGGAGAGCACAACCUUUGUAAAACUAUAAAAUAUUUUAAAUGCGAGGGUCAAGAUACAAAUAUAAUACCCGUUAUGAAAGAAUGUGGUAUCUAUGAAGACGUAAUGAGUGCCCUUCAAAGAGUUAUUGACAAUGCAAGUAGUCUUAUUAUGAACAUGGACAAUAACUUGGCAGAGCACUAUAACAGCGUUGUGUGUAAAUUCAUUGGGGGUAAAAGAAUAAAUUUUUCAUUAAGAGGGUCAUAUCAGACGAGGUGCGAAGCGGCAGCACUAUCGUUCAAUUCGGGUGGUGAAUACCAUCGAAUGAUAAAUAAAACAAUGUUUGGCAAUAGUCCAAAAGGCUUUUAUAAAAAAUUUUAUUUAAAAAAGAAAAAAGAGCACGCCAAAAUUAAAGCUAGAAGAACUUUGUUUCCAAAAAAAAAGAAAUCGGCUAAACAAAACCUGCCAGAUCAGGAUUACGGCCCCAAUGCCAACUAUCUGCCCUUAAAUCCAAAUAGCGACGAGUAUAAACAGAAGGCACAAGAUUUUAUAACAUCUCUCGCAAAAACGCCCGGCGAAAUAAAAAAAUUGAGAGAAAUACGUUGGGGCAAAAGUCUAAUCCUCAAUGGAUUCAAGAAAGAUUGGUAAGGCUUACAGCUUCGAAUUUUGGGCAAAUUUGCAAAAUGAGAUCCACUACUUCGCCUAUUAAUACAAUUAAAAAUUUACUGUAUGGAAACUUUUUUGGCAAUAAGGCUACUCGGUAUGGAAAUGAAAACGAAUCAAAGGCUUUGUUGGAAUUUGAAAAAAAAUUCAAUCUAAAAGUUAACGAGAGUGGUUUCCAUAUCGAUCAGCAAUAUCCAUUUUUGGGUGCAAGUCCAGAUGGUCUCAUAGGGGACCAAGCCCUUAUUGAAAUUAAAUGCCCUCUAUCUAUCAAGGAACACACACCUACAGAUGGAAUUAUCUCAAAAAAAAUAUCUUUUGCUGAACUAAUAAACGGCGAACUUCAUUUGAAGCGUAAUCAUAAUUACUAUUUUCAAAUUCAGGGGCAAUUGGCCAUUACAGACCGGCAAUUUGGAUAUUUUUUGAUAUGGAGUCCUCACGGUAUCCUUGUAGAAAAGAUCACUCGAGAUGACCUAUUUUGGAAAGAAACAAUGUUACCAAAGUUAAAGAUAUUUUAUAACAAUUGUUUAUUACCAGAGUUAUUAGAUCCGCUACAUCCAAAGGGGAUACCGAUAAGGGAUAAAGUCGUAACACCGUCAUUUAUUUAGGUUUCAUUAUAUUACUAUGUUUUAAACGUUAGACUGACUACGUCCAUCAGUAAAAUUGUAAUCGUACAAAAAGUCACUAUCAUCAACUGUAAGUUUUUUGUAUAAACUUUUGAAAAUGUUUUCACCUGAAAAUCGAAAUAUCAAUAUGUUUUUAGUAUUAAGUUUACAAAAAUAUAUAGUUUUCACCAACCAUUAGUAGGUACUUAACUAUUUUGAAUUCCAAAUUCCAUUCUAAUAAUACAAAAAUAUAUAGUUUUAAGUAACUGUUAGUAAGAACUUAUAGGUAUACCGUGUUAAUUAAAAUUUUGAUAUCCUGGUGACUGAUAAAAAAUGUAGACAUCUAAAUAUAUUAUAUUAUAUUUAAAUUAACAUUUAUUGAUGAAUCAACACUGUAAGUGUUUUGUAAAAAUCAUAGCCGUGAAAAUAUUUCGGUUCAAAAAAUCUUGGGGAUUCGACUAACUAUCUUUUUUAUAGUAUUAAAAAUUUUAUUUUUUUAAAAACUCAAAGUUUAAAUUUUCUUACUUUACAUUACAAAUAUCACAUAUAUUUAUUACCUAAAAAGAAAAAUUAGACAGUCAAUACAAGUUUUUAUAAAAGCAUCUAUCAAGAAAAAAUAUAAAAAUUUUUCCUAAAAAAUACAAUUACAUUUGGGUAUGUAUUACAAUUUUUGCUUUUUUUUUCAAAGACAUUUCACUUAUCAUACAUUAUUUUUGAUGACAAAAUAAUGUAGAUAUUUGUAGGCGAAGAAACUCAAACUACUGGCGUUCAAAAUAAACUAAUAACACACAAAACAACCUUUAUUAUAUUUUAGUAUAUUUUUAAGUAACAAUUGUAUGUGAUAUUUGUAUUUUAAUUAAAAAAAAAUUAAAUUUUGUAAUCGCGCAUUACGCCGAAACGUACGAAGUCUUUAAAAAAUAAAAAUGUUAAUACUACAAAAAA